rnacentral:rRNA from 1 species
GAUGAACGCUGGCGGCGUGCCUAAUACAUGCAAGUCGAGCGAACAGACGAGGAGCUUGCUCCUCUGACGUUAGCGGCGGACGGGUGAGUAACACGUGGAUAACCUACCUAUUAGACUGGGAUAACUUCGGGAAACCGGAGCUAAUACCGGAUAAAAUAUUGAACCGCAUGGUUCAAUAGUUAAAGAAGGUUUUGCUGUCACUUAUAGAUGGAUCCGCGCCGCAUUAGCUAGUUGGUAAGGUAACGGCUUACCAAGGCAACGAUGCGUAGCCGACCUGAGAGGGUGAUCGGCCACACUGGAACUGAGACACGGUCCAGACUCCUACGGUAGGCAGCAGUGGGGAAUCUUCCGCAAUGGGCGGAAGCCUGACGGAACAACGCCGCGUGAGUGAUGAAGGUCUUCGGAUCGUAAAACUCUGUUAUUAGGGAAGAACAAAUGUGUAAGUAACUCUGCACGUCUUGACGGUACCUAAUCAGAAAGCCACGGCUAACUACGUG